CAGCUUUAAGCCAGGUGCGAUCAUAAAUCAUCAGAUCAUGCCUAGAACUACUUAUCUGAACUCCAAAUGUCUCAGUCUGCACUGAUCAACCGGCAUUAUAAAUGAGAAUUCCAGGCAAAAAGAGGUCUAGUUUGGCAUGUAUCCUGACAAGGUGAUGCUACCUUUCUGGGCCUGCCCAUCUUGCACCUGGUGUGGCAUGGCCAACACAGUCAGGAAGGUUAUCAGUAGCCAAGUGUCUGGCCAACCUUCCAGAGGAGAGAGGGCAAGGGAGGACAUGUUUGCUCACCUCAUGAAUGGGUCCCACCAGAAGGCAAAAAUCCCAAAGGAAUGGAGAGAAGCAUUCAUCCUGCAAGACAAGAGAGAGAGGGGGACAAAGAGCCUGCCAAGAAGCUGUUAAAGGAGCACAUGGAUCAACUGGACACAGAAAGGGACUUGCAGGGAAAGAUGUUGGACAUGAUGCAAAUGCAGACAAGUUUCCUGGAGAACAUGGUUGCACUGUGCUCAUGUGUAACACUCCAACAUAGUCCUCUCCUGCAGCUUGCUGAGAACACAGGCCAUUGAGAGCCUUCUUUCAGUCACACAGCUGCAGGACACAGACCGUUCCCGUGCCAUCCCACCCCCUAAGACAAGGUGGACAACUGCCAUCCCACCUAUGGAUCUUUUGUGCACAAACAUGUUAGCUCUGCACUGUGGCUAUUUCUGCACCAUUUUAGUCAGUUUUGAAUUUGCACUGUCUUGAUAGGUGUCACAGCAAUUUUUUUUAUUAUUUAUAAUUGCACUCAGUUGAAAACUGUCAUUAAGAUAAGAUUCAU